rnacentral:lncRNA from 1 species
AACACUUCAAUCACACACAAUCAAGCUACAUUGUUCAAAAAGUCAUCAAUAACCCAUAAACAUACACAUAACCUAAACAUGCAUUCUAACCCUUAGAUCUUGCAUAAAACUUAUUUAAAACAUAAUGAGAGUUCAAGAUCGACCCUUACCUCUUGAAGAUCGAGAGGAAAACGACCUUGACUCAAAGAUGGGAGGAUUGAGCUCCUUGAACCUCAAAGUACUUAAACGUGCUUAAAACUUGUAGAUCUUCAAAACAAAGUUAUAAACUUGUUAAAAACGUG